rnacentral:ncRNA from 1 species
AUAAAGUUUUAUUCUGGCUUUGAGUAUUAGUGUAUGUAGAAUAUAUAUGUAGAUUAUUAAAAAAAUUAAUUUUAAUAGUUAAUUUGUUUUUUUACAGUAUAUAAUUUUAAUUUUUAAAGAAAUUUAGAUUUAGUUAUAUGUAAUAAUUUUAACUUAUCUUGUGCCAGCAGUUGCGGUUAAACAGGGAAGGUAAUUAAUUCUAUUUAAUUUGUAGUAAGAGGAAUUGGAGUAAUUUAAUAUUGAUUAUUUUAGGUGAAAUUUUAUAGUUAAUAAAAAUUAAUUUUUUAUUUUUGUUCUAUUAAAUUUAUUAUUAAACUAGGAUUAGAUACCCUAUUAUUUUAAAUGUAAAUUUAUAAGUUAAUUAGUAAUUGUUAUGUUCAUGAAAAUUAAAGAAUUUGGCGGUAUUUUAGUCUAUUCAGAGGAACUUGUCUUAUAAUUGAUAUACCACGAUUUAUAUUACUUAUUUUAUUAAUUUAUAUAUCGCUGUAGUUGAAUAUUUUUAAAGAAUUUUAAUGUUCAUGAUUUUUUUAAGAAAAGAAAUCAAGUCAAGGUGUAGUUUAUAAAUAAGGAGGGGUGAGUUACAAUAAAUUUAUUUAUGAAUUGUUAAAUUAAAGUUUUUCAUGAAAUUGGAUUUGAUAGUAAUAUGAUAUAAAUAUAUUAUAUGAUUAUAGCUCUAAAAUAUGUACAUAUCGCCCGUCGCUCUCAAUAUUAUUUGAGAUAAGUCGUAACAAAGUAGAUGUACUGGAAAGUGUAUCUGGUUUUCA